rnacentral:sRNA from 1 species
GACACUCCAGCAGCUUCGCCCCAUUGGCGGU